rnacentral:rRNA from 1 species
CGCUGGCGGCGUGCUUAACACAUGCAAGUCGAACGGGAUCCUGCAAGCUUGCUUGCGGGUGAGAGUGGCGAACGGGUGAGUAAUGCGUGACCAACCUGCCCCAUGCUCCGGAAUAGCUCCUGGAAACGGGUGGUAAUGCCGGAUGUGCCGGGCUCCUGCAUGGGGGUCCGGGAAAGCUCUGGCGGCGUGGGAUGGGGUCGCGUCCUAUCAGCUUGUUGGCGGGGUGAGGGCCCACCAAGGCUUCGACGGGUAGCCGGCCUGAGAGGGCGACCGGCCACAUUGGGACUGAGAUACGGCCCAGACUCCUACGGGAGGCAGCAGUGGGGAAUAUUGCACAAUGGGCGCAAGCCUGAUGCAGCGACGCCGCGUGCGGGAUGGAGGCCUUCGGGUUGUAACCGCUUUUGUUGGGAGCAAGCCCUUCGGGGUGAGUGUACCUUUCGAAUAAGCACCGGCUAACUACGUGCCAGCAGCCGCGG